rnacentral:tRNA from 1 species
GUCCCUGUAGGGCAAUGGAUAGCGCUUUCGACUUCAAAUUCAAAGGUGUGGGUUCGAAUCCCACCUGGGAUG